UAAGGAAUAUUGGACAAUGGAGGCAACUCUGAUCCAGCCAUGCCGCGUGAAGGAAUAAGGCCCUAUGGGUUGUAAACUUCUUUUAGACGGGACAAAACCCCUUUACGUGUAAAGGGUUGAUGGUACUGUCAGAAUAAGCAUCGGCUAACUUCGUGCCAGCAGCCGCGGUAAUCCGAAGGAUGCAAGCGUUAUCCGGAAUUAUUGGGUUUAAAGGGUGCGUAGGCGGACUAAUAAGUCAGUGGUGAAAGCCUGCAGCUUAACUGCAGAAUUGCCAUUGAUACUGUUAGUCUUGAGUACAGUUGAGGUAGACGGAAUGUGUCCUGUAGCGGUGAAAUGCUUAGAUAUGACACAGAACACCGAUUGCGAAGGCAGCUUGCUAAGCUGUAACUGACGCUGAGGCACGAAAGCGUGGGGAGCAAACA
rnacentral:rRNA from 1 species